GAGCGAUUUGUCUGGUUAAUUCCGUUAACGAACGAGACCACAGCCUACUAAAUAGUACGUGUUAUGGUAACAUAGUAUGAGACUUCUUAGAGGGACAUGUUGGGUUUACCAGCGGGAAGUUUGAGGCAAUAACAGGUCUGCGAUGCCCUUAGAUGUUCUGGGCCGCACGCGCGCUACACUGACGACUUCAACAAGUUUUUUUCUUUGAAAAAGUCCUUGGCUGGAAAGUCUGGGUAAUCUUUUAAACGGUCGUCGUGAUGGGGCUAGAUUCUUGCAAUUAUUAAUCUCCAACGAGGAACC
rnacentral:rRNA from 1 species